rnacentral:lncRNA from 1 species
CUUGGAGGUGCUCUAAUACUUGUCAAUUCCGUUCGGCUCCACGUCUGAAUCGGGCGAGAUAAAUAUAUACAGGGCUUCUGCUUCUACUUUCUUGUGCUUCUGCUUCUCGAUCUUUCUUUCGCUCGCUCUUUCUCUCUCUCUUCCUCAACGCAGACGCUGGCGACGGCGACGGCGACGGCGACCACACCCUUCGCAGGUCACGCGUGUGCCCCCGGUUGCUCAUCCCCGGCACGAAGACGCGCGACUGGGCCCUGCUGGUGGCCGUCGGCAUGGCUUCCCCUCGGCGCUGCAUCCUCCCGUCGAUCCGCAUUGUCUCGGCGAAACCCUAGCUGCCUCUUUCCGGUCAAGCCGACCUAGUCAGGGCCUCCAUGGCGCAAUUGUGCGGGCCUGGCCCCAACACGAGCGGUGCGCUGGUGUAGCCUCUGAGAGUCUCGGUGCACACCAGCGCUGCCUCCAUCCACGCCCCCGGCUGCGUCGCGCCGGCAACGUACGUCCAGCGGCUCGGCAGCGACACAAAACCAGGUAAUUUCCGCGUCCUUUACAUUUGAAGGUCCUAGUGCAGGGCUAGGUUGGUCCACCCUUGAGAUGUUGCCCCAGAUUUGUGACUUUUGCAUUGGCUUCUUGUUGCAGAUUAGAUUUCCUUGAUGAGUUGCUGACCAAACUAUGUGUUGCGAGCUGCAUACCAUGUGUUUGAUACAAUGCCCGUGUGUGCUUACUGUCCUUUUGCGUUUAAAAUGUGGUUUACCAUCAUGUACAGUACGAUGAUAACUGGCAACUGAAAGUGGUUUUCUCACAUGUGUUCAUCCAUUUAGAUUAGGCUAAAAUCUUUACAUUCUUAUCAGCUAAUGCACUCCUUUUCAAAUUACUGAGAAGCUAAGAAAAAACUUUGCUUGCAACACUGAUUUCUUUGCUUAUGGGAUUUCAUAUUUGUAUCUUUAAUAGUUCAGUAACUUCAGUUGAUUACAGAACUGGUCCAGGAUCUUGCAUUUACUAUUUUUGAACUUACAAAACCACGAAUCAUAUUUUUUCGUGCAUCCCUUAUUCUGUUUGUGAUUCUGCAUAUAAAUUAUGAAUGUUAAUUUGUGUCUAGAAGAUAAACAUCUUGUAUAUCCUAAGGGGCGUCAAAUGACAAAAGUUGUAUGUAUUGAUUUCUUUCAGCUGGAAUAGAAGCAUGGAACUACUGGCCUGUAGGUAAAAAAUUGAUUAUUUUGCAAUACUUUCUCAAAAAUAAUGUAUGCUAUGAGACUUAGAUAUCUUUCUUAUAUCUUGUGAGCUUUUGAAUUUGGAGGACAUGACUGCUGACUGUUGCAACGGUCAUGCUUUGUUGUGUGGCCUAUUGGUAGAUAUGCAGUCGCUGGAACAACUGCUAAGAUAAUAAGAAAUAGUCAUAUGUGCUGCCAAGAAUUCGUGUCAAUCGUUUGCAUCAUCACAGUGAACACCCAGCUGUUUCAUUCAUGGGGAUGCCCCUCGGCUACCUUGUUGUUUCUUGCAAUCCUCAUGGCAACAAUGCAGGUAGGUUUAUUCCCUACUCUGUUAUUUCGUUUCUCCUGUUGCUUCUCUAAUGGAGCACGCCUUGCUUCUUGUGGUUGGCAUGUAUGAGAAUUCAGUCAUAAUAUGUCUGCCAUGGCGUCGCUGAUACCCAGCGACAAGUGACCAGUUUGAGAAAGGAUAUUUGCCAGAUUUGCUUUCUUGGUUCACCAGUAUUUUGAUUGACAGCCCAUUUCCAGGUAUGGUUGGCUGCUUCUUUAUGUCUAUGUUCACGAUUUCUGUGGCUUUAGGUUGGAUUCAAUUAAAUUGGCCGCAUGUGUGCUUCCAUGGGUCUGAAGAAUACACUUAAAUUUUUUUGGGGGGCUCAUGUUUUUAAAAGGCGAUGAGAUUAGCGCUUUAGGCUUGCGCCUUACUGCUCCUAUUUUACAAAAAAAAUCAUGUAUUUCAUUUCAUUCGAACUCAAAGAUUAAUUGCACGUCUGUUUGUUUUUAACUAGAGCCAUUUUGUUCAGUUAGUAAGUAUCCAUAUGCAUUUUUUUAGCUACAGGACUUCAAAGUUUUACAUUUAUUUCUAUGUUAAACAUGUUUUUGAUUGCAUCAUCUUUGUACAGUGAAACUGACACAUGAAGACUAAAACAACAAUUUUUGCAAACAGAUUUCUUUACAAACGUCACUUUUGUAUAUUACAUACAGAUCAAAAGUCUGAUGAUUCCCGACAGGAGCAUAAAGGCAAUUCCUUCAGAACAACGCCAGAAGUGAUUCAGGUCGAACCAGAUUUACAUCCUCAAUACCGAUCGCUCUUAACUCUUACUUCAAUACACUGAAAUGGUGCCUUUUACUCUGUAAUUUUUAAACUCAGUAAACCAUCUCGCUGCUCAUACACUCCUAUACAUAGUGCUGUUUGCCAUGCCUUCAGCUUCUUGUUCUAUGAAUGACCUCUACACCUAUGUCUUGUAUUUAUCGAGUUUCUAACUUUUUCACAAAUUUUACAGAUGCGAAGCAAGAUACUUUAGCGCCAUGGAAUGGGUUAGGCUUUAUAUGUCAGAAACAAUCAUCAUCCCCUAGCUAUCUCAGAACGGCUCGUCAAGGUCUACGAUCUUUUUUCCUAUAAUGCAUGUAAUAUAUACCUCUCUAUAAUCAGCUCCAAAGACAUCAAGGUCUAUGACCUUUCACCUAUGUACUAAGCCAUCAACAUAUGUAAUAUAAUAUACACGUACAAAUAUAUACCUGUACAUGUAUAUCUCCAUCAAUAUAACCUUAUCAUGCAUAAUCUGCAUGUAAACCCAAGUGUGCUUACACGCGCGCGAUGGCGCGCGCUGUUGCACUAGUACUGCUAUAUACUCGGUGGUGAGCUUAACACCCUGUCCCCUCCUGCGGCCACCGAACGGUGCCAAUUAUACAUCUGCUCGGGCGUACAUCUCUAGGAUUUGGAGACCCCUAAACGAAAUACAUGAUGAUGCCUUAAAAUUUGAGAAAACUAAAGCAUACUUUGACUUAAUUAUAAAACUUCAAAUUUAUAUGGAUCUUACACUAUUAAGAAUAAACCAAAAUUUAUCUAUACCUCUAUCCCUAGUACUAAAGAAGCAAAAUUUCAACUUAAAUUUUAGGGCAGUCUCGGUGCUCGUAUGCUAUGAAGCGGUGGCCAUCUCACGCAUAGCAGCUGGCGCAGAGGGGAUAGGACAAGGACAGGCUCACAUGCUUUAGAUAAGAUACAGUAAUAGAAUGACAUGUUUUCUAUUAUUUUAUUUUGUUAUUAGAUUAUUAUUAGAACAUAAUAUAGGACUCACUAAAAUAUAGAACCCUGCUCACUGCCUAAACGAAGGAUUUGACUUUAAAAACUUUAGUUCACUUUGGUCCAUAAGAAUUUUAUUCCUUAUUAAGAAGUACUUUCCCA